rnacentral:pre_miRNA from 1 species
AAAAAGAUAAACCCUAAAUUUCUGUGUUCAACGUUUGACUGUCCGUCUUAUAUGAAAUUUUUUUACAAUUAAUAUUUUUAUUAUUGUUAGAUGAUAAAACAUGAUUAAUACUUUUUGCGUGACUUGUCUUUUUAAAAAUUUUCAUAAUUUUUUU